UAUAUUGGACAAUGGGCGAAAGCCUUAUCGAGCCAUGCCGCGUGUGUGAAGGAGGUCUNCGGUGUNUNAAACACUCUAAGGUGGGNGAAGGGGGUGUAGUAUAAUACUCUGCAAUUUUGACGAUAUCAACAGAAUAAGCACCGGAUAACUUCGUGCCCGCAGCCGCGGUAAUACGGAGGGUGCAAGCGUUAAUCGGAAUUACUGGGCGUAAAGCGCACGUAGGUGGUUCGUUAAGUUAGAAGUGAAAGCCCCGGGCUUAACCUGGGAAUUGCAUUCAAAACUGGCGAACUAGAGUACGGUAGAGGGUAGUGGAAUUUCCGGUGUAGCGGUGAAAUGCGUAGAGAUAGGAAGGAACAUCGGUGGCGAAGGCGGCUCCCUGGACUGAUACUGACACUCAGGUGCGAAAGCGUGGGGAGCAAACAGG
rnacentral:rRNA from 1 species